rnacentral:rRNA from 1 species
UACGAAGGGGGCUAGCGUUGUUCGGAAUUACUGGGCGUAAAGCGAGCGUAGGCGGUUGUCCAAGUUGGAUGUGAAAGCCUUGAGCUCAACUCAAGAAAUGCAUUCAGGACUGGGCGACUAGAGGACCGGAGAGGAUAGUGGAAUUCCCAGUGUAGUGGUGAAAUACGUAGAUAUUGGGAAGAACACCAGUGGCGAAGGCGGCUAUCUGGACGGUUUCUGACGCUGAGGCUCGAAAGCGUGGGGAGCAAACAGG